rnacentral:rRNA from 1 species
AUCGAACGCUGGCGGCAUGCUUUACACAUGCAAGUCGAACGGUAACAGGUUAAGCUGACGAGUGGCGAACGGGUGAGUAAUGCAUCGGAACGUGCCCGGUCGUGGGGGAUAACGCAGCGAAAGCUGCGCUAAUACCGCAUACGAUCUGAGGAUGAAAGCGGGGGACCGUAAGGCCUCGCGCGAUCGGAGCGGCCGAUGUCAGAUUAGGUAGUUGGUGGGGUAAAGGCUCACCAAGCCGACGAUCUGUAGCUGGUCUGAGAGGACGACCAGCCACACUGGGACUGAGAAACGGCCCAGACUCCUACGGGAGGCAGCAGUGGGGAAUUUUGGACAAUGGGCGCAAGCCUGAUCCAGCAAUGCCGCGUGCAGGAAGAAGGCCUUCGGGUUGUAAACUGCUUUUGUACGGAGCGAAAAGGCUCUCUCUAAUACAGGGGGCUCAUGACGGUACCGUAAGAAUAAGCACCGGCUAACUACGUGCCAGCCGCCGCGGUAA